rnacentral:rRNA from 1 species
CGCACGGGUGAGUAACACGUAUCCAACCUGCCGUCUACCCUUGGACAGCCUUCUGAAAGGAAGAUUAAUACAAGAUGGCAUCAUGAGUCCGCAUGUUCACAUGAUUAAAGGUAUUCCGGUAGACGAUGGGGAUGCGUUCCAUUAGAUAGUAGGCGGGGUAACGGCCCACCUAGUCUUCGAUGGAUAGGGGUUCUGAGAGGAAGGUCCCCCACAUUGGAACUGAGACACGGUCCAA